AGUCCCAUCAGAAGCUGAUGUGGUGCAACGCACAUAAUAUGUCCUUUUUCCCUUUAUAUUCAUGAUAGAAAUAUAAUUGGAAGGUGCUACGUCCAUAGUACGGACCGUACCCUUUCUUUUGAAAAGGAGACAACCGUCAUGUGGGAGCCAUUUAUUGCGUUUUGCUGUUUAGAUUUUAGAAUCCAAACCCUCUCCUCUUCUUUUUUUUUUUUUGGUGAGAAUUCGUAAAUUCUGUUUAUUCAUCAUGUAUUGUGUGUUUCAUCUUGUAUUCUUGAAUUAUGACAAAGAAGAUCAAGAGAGGAUUUUGUUGGUAAAUUUUUAUGCCUUUCGGCCAAACGGGCACGUGCCACGUUUCUGGUGGAUCCCUUAUCUGUCAGCCACCCAUUGCAACC
rnacentral:lncRNA from 1 species